rnacentral:lncRNA from 1 species
CGUAAUCCCAGUCUGGGUCGGAUUUCUUUACACGUUUUAAGGGACGAUUUGGACUAUUCCUACUUUAAUUAUAAAGUUAGAGGGUUAAGGUUAAUAAGUUUAAUUACUUGGGGAUUAAAUGAGGUAACCUUAAGUUAAUUAGUGGGUUAUUAUUGCCAUCUUUCAUUCUUAAUUAUAUGUUAAUUAGGGUAAAAGAAAGAGGAUUUGAAUAAGAAAAUAGAAAGAACAAGAGAGAGAGAGAAUUGAACGAGGAAGAGAGAAACGAAGAGGAUAACAAAGCAUUGGGGAAUUUGUUGCUUGAUCACGAAUCUUCGGUGGAGGUAGGUUAUGAUUAUUUUAUGCUAUUCGUAGUAAACUCUUAAUAGCGAAUGAUAUGUAUUGAUAGUACUGUAAACCCUUCUAUAUGCUUAAUUGUAUGCUUGCAUGAAUGUGAUUAUGAAAUUGUGAUAUAAUAAGCAUGAUGAAGCUAUUGAAUCCUAAAUCUUGAAAAGUAACCCUAAUCUACUUUGUUAGUGAUGAUGCCUUGGUAUAAAAGAACGCUUGAUGAACGAAAGUAGUGAGAUUAGGGGAUCAGGUGCCACGUUCCGGUACCAGGAUAGUAUAUGAGGAUCGGAGUGUCACUUUCCGACACCACGGUAGUAUAUGGAUCGGGUGCCACGUUCCGGUACCAGGAUAGUAUAUGAGGAUCGGAUUUUUACGUUCCGACACCAGGAUAGUAUAUGGAUCGGGUGCCACGUUCUGGUACCAGGAUAGAAUAUGGAUCGGGUGUCACGUUCCGACACCAGGAUAGAAUGAGGAUUGGAGUGUCACGUUCUGACACCAUGAUAGUAUAUGAGGAGCGGAGUGUCACGUACCGAACGAGAGGAAUAAAGAUAAUGAAUCUUGAAAGAUGUUAAUAUACUCAAUUUAAUGAACCUAAUUCCCAAAUGAGUAUGAUGAGGAGGCGAAAGUCCUCAUUGAUGUGCUUGGUGUUGUGACCAAGGGUUAUGGUAAUUGUAAAUGCUGCAUGCUAAGGAUAUUAGUUGAUUUUAUGAUAUUACUUGAUAUAUACUGUUUUCUAUUUUGAGUUGGCCGAUGAUAUCUACUCAGUACCCGUGUUUUGUAUUGACCCCUACUUUUAUGUUUUCUUCUUUGUUAAUUGUGGAGUGCAGCAAACGUGCCGUCGUCUUCAACUCAACAGUAAUUCUAGCCAGUCUUUGUCACACCGGAUCUUCAGGGUGAGCUAAUGCUUCUAGCUUGGACUGGAUCUUCUUCCUCAUGUCUUGAUGCCUUGAAGUUCCGGCAUGGACUAGCUUUUACUUGGUUUAGCUUCUUAGAAUACUCUUAGUUUAGUAAUUUGAUAAUAGAUGUUCUUGUGGUGAUGACUUCCAGAUUUUGGGGAAUAAUAGUUGUUGAAUUUUAGAAGUUAUUGAAUUGGUUUUUAUUUAAUGAGUUUAAGUCUUCCGCAUUAUUUACUGUUGAUAUUAUAUUGAAAUGUUAAGGUUUAGAUUGGUUGGUUCGCUCACAGAGGAGGGUAAGGGUGGGUGUCAGUCGUGACCCGAUUUGGGUCGUGACAAACUUGGUAUCAGAGCAUUAUGUUCGUUGGUCUCAUAACGCAAGAACGAGUCUAGUAGGGGACGCCUUUACUUUUCUUUUAGAGGCUAAUAAGACAUUAGGAAAAUUCCAUUCUUUCAUUCUUCUUUCGUGCUAUUACUUGGGUCCAAUUGUUAUCGAGGUGAUACAAAUUGGUAUCUGACCAUCUUCACUCUAUUUCGCAGAUGGUUAGAACUAGAUCAACGACUCCGCCAACACCAACACCGGCAAGACAAGAAACGUCUGAGCCAGCCACUGGGGCUGUGGCUCGAGGAAGAGCAGCGGCAAGAGGCCGUGGUAGAGAUCGUGGGAGGACGUCCUCUAGAGGAAGAGGACGAGCACCUAGCUCAUCUGGUACUAGGGCGGUGACUCCUCCACCGACUGAGGAAGUAGUAAGAGAGGAUGAGGAAGGGGAGAAUGAACAAGUGCAAAAUGAGGAAUUGUCACCCCAACCUACCCCAGAGAUGAUCAAUCAGGUUCUUGCUUAUCUUAGCGGGUUAUCUGAUCAGGGUCAGGCACCUCUUGUGUUUUCUGCACCAACACCUCCGGUUUUAUAGGUACGACAUGCCGCUGCUGGGGCUCCCCGCAUGGAUGCCUAAUUGGAGAUAGGCACGUUUCCUCGUCUGACUACGGGGCCCAUAAUGACAAAUGAUUAGCAUGAACUUUUAAGUAAGUUCUUGAAAUUGAAACCUCCUGUCCUCAAGGGUGCUGAAUCGGAGGAUGCUUAUGAUUUUCUUGUUGACUGUCAUGAGCUACUACAUAAGAUUGUUAUAGUAGAACGAUUUGGUCUUGAGUUUGUGACUUAUCAGUUUCAAGGGAACGCCAAAAUGUGGUGGCGAACACAUGUUGAGUGUCAACCGACAGAGGCAACACCCAUGACUUUGGCCUCAUUCUCUAGCUUGUUUAUGGAAAAGUAUAUUCCCCGGACUUUGAGGGAUCGAAAAAGAGUUGAGUUCUUUAGCCUAGAGCAAGGUAGGAUGUCAGUUACUUCUUAUGAAGCUAGGUUUUGCGCACUAUCCAGAUAUGCCACCCAACUUUGUUUCAGUCCACAAGAGCGGAUUCGCCGUUUUGUGAAGGGGUUGAGGUCAGAGUUGCGGAUUUCAGCCUUACAGGUAGCGGCUACCGCAAAAUCCUUCCAAGAACUGGAAGACUUUGUGGUAGAGGUGGAAGGAGUAAAGCCAGAUGACUUCACCAUGGCAUCGACAUCAAAAAGGUUUCGAAAGGGAGGUGAGUAUAAUUGUUCUUACUCUAGAGGACAGGGUUCCGGAGGUUACUCAGUCAGACCAAUUAAGUCUUCACUACAGACUGUAGUUGGGGGUCCACCUCAGACCGGUCAACACUUCUCUGAGAGACCUAUGCUUGAAUCCAGAGAGUGUUAUGGAUGUGGGGAGACUGGACACAUUAAGAGGUAUUGUCCAUAACAGAGUUACAGACCUCCAAAUGUUAGAGGUAGAGGUGGUUAUGGAAGAGGUCGUCAUUCUGGAGGAUGCGGUGUUCGAGGUAAUGGUUGUCACCAAAACAGCCAGGGUGAUGGGCAAACUGGAGACACUACAUCACAACAUGGUAGGGGCAACGAACAGACAAACGAUAGGGCCCAUUGUUACGCUUUCCCUGGGCAGUCUGAAGCGGAGGCAUCUGAUGCUGUCAUCACAGGUAAUCUUUUGGUUUGUGAUUGCAUGGCUUCUGUAUUGUUUGAUCCCGGAUCCACAUUUUAUUAUGUAUCUUCCUCAUUUGCUAAUGGUCUUAAUUUAAAUUGUGAAUUACUUGACAUGCCUAUUCGUGUUUCUACUCUGGUGGGUGAGUCUGUGAUAGUUCAAAAAGUGUAUAGGUCUUGUUUGGUGACUUUUGUGGGGAGCAACACUUAUGUAGAUUUGGUUAUCCUAGAAAUGGUUGACUUUGAUGUAAUUUUGGGUAUGAAUUGGCUUUCUCCGAAUUUUGCGAUCUUCGAUUGUAAUGCUAAGAUUGUGCCGUUAGCCAAGCCUGGGACAGAUCCGUUAGUGUGGGAGGGUGACUACACUUCUAAUCCGGUGCGUAUCAUCUCCUUUCUUCGUGCUAAGAAAAUGGUUAGUAAAGGGUGUUUAGCUUUCUUGGCACAUCUCAAGGAUGACACUACUCAAGUACCCUAGAUUGAGUCGGUUUCGGUAGUCCGUGAGUUUUUGGAUGUGUUCCCUGCAGAUCUUCCUGGUAUGCCACCAGAUAGGGAUAUUGACUUCUACAUCGAUCUUGAACCGGGUACUCGCCCCAUUUCUAUACCCCCUUAUAGAAUGGCCCCCGCGGAUUUAAGAGAGUUAAAGGCCCAACUUCAAGAGUUGUUGAGCAAAGUCUUCAUUAGACCAAGUGCAUCUCCUUGGGGUGCUCCAGUUUUGUUUGUGAAGAAGAAGGAUGGGAGUUUUUGGAUGUGCAUAGACUACAGACAACUGAAUAAGCUAACUAUUAAGAACAAGUAUCCUCUUCCUCGCAUUGAUGACUUGUUCGAUCAGUUACCAGGUGCUUGCAUCUUCUCUAAGAUUGACUUGAGAUCCGGUUAUCAUCAAUUGAAAAUACGGGCAACGGAUGUGCCAAAGAAUACUUUUCGGACCAUGUAUGGGAAAUAUGAAUUUGUAGUGAUGUCUUUUGGUCUUACGAAUGCCUCUGCUGCUUUCAUGAGCUUGAUAAACGGGAUUUUUAAACCAUAUUUGGAUCUCUUUGUGAUCGUGUUUAUUGAUGAUAUACUGAUAUACUCUAAAAGUAAGAAGGAACAUGAGGAGCAUUUGAGAAUUGUAUUGGAAAUGUUGAGGGAGAAAAAGCUUUAUGCCAAGUUCUCUAAGUGUGAGUUUUGGCUAGAUGCAGUGUCCUUGUUGGGGCACGUGGUGUCUAAGGAGGGCGUGAUGGUGGAUCCUUCUAAGAUUGAGAUAGUGAAGAAUUGGGUAAGACCUACUAAUGUGUUAGAAAUAAGAAGUUUUGUUGGUUUAGCUAGCUAUUACCGUCGAUUUGUCGAGGGAUUCUCUUCCAUUGCUUCCCAAUUGACGAAUUUGACUAAGCAGAAUGUUCCAUUUGUAUGGUCAGACGAGUGUGAAGAAAGCUUUCAGAAGCUCAAGACUUUGUAGACUACUGCACCAAUUCUCACCUUGCCUGUGGAAGGUAAGAACUUCAUUGUUUAUUGUGAUGCAUCCUAUUCGGGUUUGGGUGCAGUGCUAAUGCAAGAGAAGAAUGUUAUUGCUUAUGCUUCAAGACAAUUAAAAGUUCAUGAACGUAACUAUGCGACCCAUGAUUUGGAAUUGGUUGCGGUAGUGUUUGCAUUGAAGCAAUGGAGACACUAUCUAUAUGGGGUUAAGUGUGAAGUAUACACGGAUCAUCGUAGCCUACACUAUGUCUUUACUCAGAAAGAUUUGAAUUUGAGGCAGAGGAGAUGGAUGGAAUUACUGAAGGACUACGAUAUCACUAUCUUGUAUCAUCCCAGAAAAGCGAAUGUUGUGGCAUACGCCUUUAGUAGAAAGGCAGGGAGCAUGGGACGUCUAGCUUACUUGCAAGUUUCUAGACGCCCAUUGGCUAGAGAGGUUCAGAUUCUGGCUAAUGACCUUAUGAGGUUAGAAGUAAAUGAGAGGGGAGGAUUUUUGGCUUGUGUGGAGGCAAGAUCUUCCUUCCUUGACAAGAUUAAGGGAAAGCAGUUUAUUGAUGAGAAAUUGAUCCCUAUCCGAGAUAAAGUGUUGCAAGGAGAGGCUAAAGAAGCGACAAUCGAUGAGGAAGGUGUUUUGAGAAUUAAGGGAAGGGUAUGUGUGCCCCGUGUUGAUGAUUUGAUCCACACCAUUCUUACAGAGGCUCAUAGUUCCAGAUAUUCUAUACAUCCUGGUGCAACCAAGAUGUACCCUAACCUAAAGCAACACUUUUGGUGGAGUAGAAUGAUGCGCGACAUUGUCGAUUUUGUUGCCAAAUGUCCAAACUGUCAACAAAUAAAGUAUGAACACACCAGAUACCCGGAGGAACACUUCAGAGAAUGCCCAUUCCCGAAUGGAAGUGGGAAAGGAUUGAAAUGGAUUUCGUGGUUGAUCUUCCAAAGACAUUGGGAAAGUUUGAUUCUAUUUGGGUAAUUGUUGAUAGGUUAACUAAGUCUGCUCACUUCAUUCCGGUCAAGGUGACUUACAAUGCAGAGAAGUUAGCCAAAAUCUAUAUCUCAGAAAUUGUUCGGUUGCAUGGGGUUCCACUCUCCAUUAUAUCAGAUAGAGGUACGCAGUUUACCUCUAUGUUUUGGAAAACAUUGCAUGCGGAAUUGGGUACUAGGUUGGACCUUAGUACUGCGUUCCAUCCUCAGACCGAUGGUCAGUCUGAGAGAACGAUUCAAGUGUUGGCGGAUAUGCUUCGUGCAUGUGUGAUAGAAUUUGGUGGCCAUUGGGAUAGCUUCUUACCCUUAGCAGAGUUCUCCUACAACAAUAGCUAUCACUCAAGUAAUUAUAUGGCUCCAUUUGAAGCAUUGUAUGGGGGGAGAUGUAGGUCUCCCAUUGGUUGGUUUGAUACAUUUGAGGUGAGACCUUGGGGUACUGAACUUUUGAGGGAUUCAUUAGAGAAAGUGAAGUCUAUUCAAGAAAAGCUUCUAGCGGCGCAGAGUAGGCAAAAAGAAUAUGCAGAUCGAAAGGUUAGAGACUUAAUGUUCAUGGAGGGUGAACAAGUCUUGCUGAAGGUUUCGCCCAAGAAAGGGGUGAUGCGGUUUGGUAAAAGAGGUAAACUACGCCCAAGGUAUAUUGGUCCCUUUGGAGUACUUAAGCGAGUAGGGGAGGUGUCUUAUGAGUUAGCCUUGCCUCCAGGGCUGUCCGGAGUGCAUCCGGUAUUCCAUGUGUCUAUGUUGAAAAGAUAUCAUGGGGAUGGAAACUACAUUAUCCAUUGGGAUUCGGUCCUGCUUGAUGAGAAUUUGUCGUAUGAGGAGAAACCUGUUGCUAUUUUAGGUAAACAAGUUCGCAAGUUGAGGUCAAGGGAGAUUGCAUCCAUCAAGGUGCAAUGGAAGAAUCGGCCGGUUGAAGAAGCCACUUGGGAGAAGGAGGCCGAUAUGCAAGAAAGAUACCCACAUCUGUUAAAAGAUUUAGGUACUCCUUCUCGCCCAUGUUUUUCUUUUUAUGAUCGUUCGAGGACGAACGAUGGGUAAAUUGAUAUCUAUUGUAACGACCUGUUUAGUCGCUUUGAGCAGCAGAUUUUAUUUCUGGAAAACUGGCUGAGGCGACGGACCCCACGACGGACCGUCAUGGCACGACGGACCGUCGCAGGGUCUCAUUUGAAAACACUUAGAAAUUCUGAAAUUGGGUACUGAAAAUUGACUCUCUGAACUUCGUAACGGAAUGGCAGGACGGACCGUCACAGGCGUGACGGACCGUCACAGACUCUUUGGUGGAAAUUGAGUCUCUGAACUUUGCGACGACCUGCAGGACGGACCGUCGCAGGCACGACGAGCCGUCACAGGUUGCGUAAUCCCAGUCUGGGUUGGAUUUCUUUACAUGUUUUAAGGGACGUUUUGGACUAAUCCUACUUUAAUUAUAAAGUUAGAGGGUUAAGGUUAAUAAGUCUAAUUACUUGGGGGUUAAAAGAGGUAACCUUAAGUUAAUUAGUGGGUUAUUAUUGCCAUCUUUCAUUCUUAAUUAUAUGUUAAUUAGGGUAAAAGAAAGAGGAUUUGAAUAAGAAAAUAGAAAGAACAAGAGAGAGAGAGAGA